GUGGGGAAUCUUCCGCAAUGGACGAAAGUCUGACGGAGCAACGCCGCGUGAGUGAUGAAGGUCUUCGGAUUGUAAAGCUCUGUUAAUCGGGACGAAAGAGCCUAGUGUGAAUAAUGCUAGGAAGUGACGGUACCGGAAUAGAAAGCCACGGCUAACUACGUGCCAGCAGCCGCGGUAAUACGUAGGUGGCAAGUGUUGUCCGGAAUUAUUGGGCGUAAAGCGCGCGCAGGCGGAUCUGCCAGUCUGUCUUAAAAGUUCGGGGCUUAACCCCGUGAUGGGAUGGAAACUACAGAUCUAGAGUAUCGGAGAGGAAAGUGGAAUUCCAAGUGUAGCGGUGAAAUGCGUAGAGAUUUGGAAGAACACCAGUGGCGAAGGCGACUUUCUGGACGAUGUCUGACGCUGAGGCGCGAAAGCUAGGGGAGCGAACGGGAUUAGAAACCCGUGUAGUCC
rnacentral:rRNA from 1 species